rnacentral:rRNA from 1 species
UGGGGAAUAUUGCACAAUGGGGGAAACCCUGAUGCAGCGACGCCGCGUGAACGAAGAAGGUAUUCGUAUCGUAAAGUUCUGUCCUAUGGGAAGAUAAUGACAGUACCAUAGAAGAAAGCUCCGGCUAAAUACGUGCCAGCAGCCGCGGUAAUACGUAUGGAGCGAGCGUUGUCCGGAAUUAUUGGGCGUAAAGGGUACGCAGGCGGUUUAAUAAGUCGAAUGUUAAAGAUCGGGGCUCAACCCCGCAAAGCAUUGGAAACUGAUAAACUUGAGUAGUGGAGAGGAAAGUGGAAUUCCGGGUGUAGUGGAGAAAUUCGUAGAAAAUAGGAGGAAUACCAAUAGCGAAGGCGACUUUCUGGACACAAACUGCCGCUGAGGUACGAAAGCGUGGGGAGCAAACAGG